rnacentral:rRNA from 1 species
AUUGAACGCUAGCGGCAGGCCUAACACAUGCAAGUCGAGCGGAUGACGGGAGCUUGCUCCUUGAUUCAGCGGCGGACGGGUGAGUAAUGCCUAGGAAUCUGCCUGGUAGUGGGGGACAACGUUUCGAAAGGAACGCUAAUACCGCAUACGUCCUACGGGAGAAAGCAGGGGACCUUCGGGCCUUGCGCUAUCAGAUGAGCCUUGGUCGGAUGAGGUAGUUGGUGGGGUAAUGGCUCACCAAGGCGACGAUCCGUAACUGGUCUGAGAGGAUGAUCAGUCACACUGGAACUGAGACACGGUCCAGACUCCUACGGGAGGCAGCAGUGGGGAAUAUUGGACAAUGGGCGAAAGCCUGAUCCAGCCAUGCCGCGUGUGUGAAGAAGGUCUUCGGAUUGUAAAGCACUUUAAGUUGGGAGGAAGGGCAGUAAGCUAAUACCUUGCUGUUUUGACGUUACCGACAGAAUAAGCACCGGCUAACUCUGUGCCAGCCGCCGCCGUAA